ACKGCUCAGUAACACGUGGCUAACCCACCCUCGGGACGGAGACAACCCCGGGAAACUGGGGCUAAUCCCCGAUAGGCGAAGACUCCUGGAAUGGGUCCUCACCCAAAAGGCGUUGCAGUCAUGCUCUGUAACCUCGCCCGAGGACGGGGCCGCGGCCGAUCAGGUAGUUGGUGAGGCAACGGCUCACCAAGCCUAUAACCGGUACGGGCCGCGGGAGCGGGAGCCCGGAGAUGGGCACUGAGACAAGGGCCCAGGCCCUACGGGGCGCAGCCGUUGCGAAAACCCCGCAAUGCACGAAAGUGUGACGGGGCUACCCCGAGUGCCGUCCGCUGAGGAUGGCUUUUCUCUGCUGUAAGGAGGCGGAGGAAUAAGGCGAGGGCAAGUCUGGUGUCAGCCGCCGCGGUAAUACCAGCUCGCCGAGUGGUAGGGAUGAUUAUUGGGCUUAAAGCGUCCGUAGCCGGCCUUUCAAGUCUCUCGUUAAAUCCAGCGAUUCAAUCGUUGGACUGCGGGAGAUACUGUUUGGCUAGGGGGCGGGAGAAGCCGACGGUAUUCUCAGGGUAGGGGUAAAAUCCUAUAAUCCUGGGAAGACCACCAGUGGCGUAGGCGGUCGGCUAGCACGCGCUCGACGGUGAGGGACGAAAGCUGGGGGAGCGAACCGGAUUAGAUACCCGGGUAGUCCCAGCUGUAAACGAUGCGGGCUAGGUGUUGGAGCGGCUACGAGCCGCUUCAGUGCCGCAGGGAAGCCAUUAAGCCCGCCGCCUGGGGAGUACGGCCGCAAGGCUGAAACUUAAAGGAAUUGGCGGGGGAGCAC
rnacentral:rRNA from 1 species